UACGUAGGGGGCAAGCGUUGUCCGGAUUUAUUGGGCGUAAAGAGCGUGUAGGCGGUUAGGUAGGUCCGUUGUGAAAACUCGAGGCUCAACCUCGAGACGCCGAUGGAAACCAUCUAACUAGAGUCCGGAAGAGGAGAGUGGAAUUCCUGGUGUAGCAGUGAAAUGCGCAGAUAUCAGGAGGAACACCGGUGGCGAAGGCGGGUCUCUGGGCCGAUACUGACGCUGAGGAGCGAAAGCGUGGGGAGCGAACAGG
rnacentral:rRNA from 1 species